rnacentral:lncRNA from 1 species
AGAUCUGGCGACUUGCUUAAAUUUCAUCAGCCUCACUUCUAUGGACUCUCAGAGCUGAUUACCAACUCCUACCACUGUUAACCCUCAUCCAGGAACAAGCUUAUGUCUUUAACAUUCUGAGUGGGCUUCAGCAUCCUUGCAUAUGUUCAAUUCUUAAAAACCUGUUGAAAUAAAAGAUCAGGAGACAUAGGAGGGAUGCCAGAAGACAGCGUGGCCUCACGUGUACCAGCUCUCUGCUCUCCUUUGCCUUGGGACGUUCCAUCCCUGGAAGUUUCCCUGCCCACAUCUUUGUAGAGAGUCCAUUCUCCAAGCUUCAGUGUGUCAUCUGUUAGGACUAUGACCCACCUGGUACAUUACCUCAGGGCAUUCAUUUCAGGCUCCUUCUAAGUGGUCAAGGCACCCUUGGAAAUGCAAUGCUAUAUCUCAAUGGGAUUUUCCAGUACAGAGAUUCUUUUCAAUAACAUAAUUGUGGAUACACACCACUCCUGUAGUGCUGCACUGAUGAGGAAACUGAAACAGAAAAUCCAGAGUAAAUUCCACCAGGCCACACAGCAAGGUCUGAUAGAGCCAGGAGAGACUUUAUGAAAUCCAGACUCUCACACUAAUGCUCUAUCAGCUAGACCUCCAUGUGAGUCUCCCCAAUGUAGGUAGGAAGCACUUUCCC